rnacentral:rRNA from 1 species
UGGGGAAUUUUGGACAAUGGGGGGAAACCCUGAUCCAGCCAUCCCGCGUGUGCGAUGAAGGCCUUCGGGUUGUAAAGCACUUUUGGCAGGAAAGAAACGUCGUGGGUUAAUACCCCGCGAAACUGACGGUACCUGCAGAAUAAGCACCGGCUAACUACGUGCCAGCAGCCGCGGUAAUACGUAGGGUGCAAGCGUUAAUCGGAAUUACUGGGCGUAAAGCGUGCGCAGGCGGUUCGGAAAGAAAGAUGUGAAAUCCCAGAGCUUAACUUUGGAACUGCAUUUUUAACUACCGGGCUAGAGUGUGUCAGAGGGAGGUGGAAUUCCGCGUGUAGCAGUGAAAUGCGUAGAUAUGCGGAGGAACACCGAUGGCGAAGGCAGCCUCCUGGGAUAACACUGACGCUCAUGCACGAAAAGCGUGGGGAGCAAACAGGAUUAGAUACCCUGGUAGUCCACGCCCUAAAACGAUGUCAACUAGCUGUUGGGGGUCUUCGGACCUUGGUAG